rnacentral:rRNA from 1 species
ACAGAGGGUGCGAGCGUUAAUCGGAAUUACUGGGCGUAAAGGGUGCGUAGGUGGUUUAAUAAGUCAGAUGUGAAAUCCCCGGGCUCAACCUGGGAACUGCAUUUGAAACUAUUAAGCUAGAGUACGGUAGAGGGAAGUGGAAUUUCCGGUGUAGCGGUGAAAUGCGUAGAUAUCGGAAGGAACAUCAGUGGCGAAGGCGACUUCCUGGACCGCAACUGACACUGAGGCACGAAAGCGUGGGGAGCAAACAGG